rnacentral:lncRNA from 1 species
UUUACUACCUCUUAACUACUUACACACCAAAAAUCAUGUGAUUUUGAGACUACUAACCUAACAAUCAAGUAGUCACAAAAAUAUGCAUUGUUUCGUGCUAUUUAAACUCUCUAAUUUUAUGACCACCUGAUGCAGUGCCCGUCUCCAAAUCACAUAAUUUUUGGUGUGCAAGGUAAUAGAUCACAUCCAACUGCUCUUGUCAUUGUUGUGCAACCCUCAUGAUUCAACAUGACCUGACCGAAUCUGUAUAGAGAUCUUCUUGAGUAUAGCCAAGUCAAGUUCAUACACACACAUAACUAUAUAUACACAUAUAUAUACACAGACAUGCACACACACACACACACA